rnacentral:misc_RNA from 1 species
CUGCGAGUUCGCGGGAGAGUAAGUUAUUGCCAGGGUUUUUAUUUUAUACUUUAAACAUUGAUUUUAUUUUUUAUGUUUUUAGAUGUUCAUGUUAUUGAAUGUUUUAUUUAAAUAAUAUAAAAAAAUAUAAAUAUAUUGACAUGGAUUAAACAAAGAUAUAUAUUAUUCUAUGUUGCAUAAGCAAAUUGGCAAAAUAGAGAUGGAAGAUAAAAAUAUGGUCAAAGUAAUAAGAGUCUAUGGUGAAUGCCUAGC